UACGAAGGGUGCAAGCGUUACUCGGAAUUACUGGGCGUAAAGCGUGCGCAGGCGGCUUUGCAAGUCAGACGUGAAAUCCCCGGGCUUAACCUGGGAAUGGCGUUUGAAACUACGGAGCUGGAGUGUGGCAGAGGGAGGUAGAAUUCCACGUGUAGCGGUGAAAUGCGUAGAUAUGUGGAGGAAUACCGAUGGCGAAGGCAGCCUCCUGGGCCAACACUGACGCUCAUGCACGAAAGCGUGGGGAGCAAACAGG
rnacentral:rRNA from 1 species